AUUGAACGCUGGCGGCAUGCUUUACACAUGCAAGUCGAACGGUAACAGGUUAAGCUGACGAGUGGCGAACGGGUGAGUAAUGCAUCGGAACGUGCCCGGUCGUGGGGGAUAACGCAGCGAAAGCUGCGCUAAUACCGCAUACGAUCUGAGGAUGAAAGCGGGGGACCGUAAGGCCUCGCGCGAUCGGAGCGGCCGAUGUCAGAUUAGGUAGUUGGUGGGGUAAAGGCCCACCAAGCCGACGAUCUGUAGCUGGUCCGAGAGGACGACCAGCCACACUGGGACUGAGACGCGGCCCAGACUCCUACGGGAGGCAGCAGUGGGAAAUUUUGGACAAUGGGAGAAAGCCUGAUCCAGCAAUGCCGCGUGCAGGAAGAAGGCCUUCGGGUUGUAAACUGCUUUUGUACGGAGCGAAAAGGUCCUUUCUAAUACAAGGGGCUCAUGACGGUACCGUAAGAAUAAGCACCGGCUAACUACGUGCCAGCCGCCGCGGUAA
rnacentral:rRNA from 1 species